rnacentral:rRNA from 1 species
UACGAAGGGGGCUAGCGUUGCUCGGAAUCACUGGGCGUAAAGGGUGCGUAGGCGGGUCUUAAGUCAGGGGUGAAAUCCUGGAGCUCAACUCCAGAACUGCCUUUGAUACUGAAGAUCUUGAGUUCGGGAGAGGUGAGUGGAACUGCGAGUGUAGAGGUGAAAAUUCGUAGAUAUCUGGAGGAAUACCGGUGGCGAAGGCGGCAUCCUGGACCGGCAUGACGCUGAUGAGCGAAAGCUAGGGGAGCAAACGGGG